UGGGGAAUCUUGCGCAAUGGGGGAAACCCUGACGCAGCAACGCCGCGUGGGUGAUGAAGGCCUUCGGGUCGUAAAGCCCUGUCAGGUGGGAAGAAACUCAUCGAUGCCAAUACCAUCGAUGCUUGACGGUACCACCGGAGGAAGCACCGGCUAACUCCGUGCCAGCAGCCGCGGUAAUACGGAGGGUGCAAGCGUUGUUCGGAAUUACUGGGCGUAAAGCGCGUGUAGGCGGUCGGGUAAGUCAGAUGUGAAAGCCUUCCGCUUAACGGAAGAAGUGCAUUUGAGACUGCUCGGCUGGAGUUCGGGAGAGGAGAGUGGAAUUCCCGGUGUAGAGGUGAAAUUCGUAGAUAUCGGGAGGAACACCGGUGGCGAAGGCGGCUCUCUGGCCCGACACUGACGCUGAGACGCGAAAGUGUGGGGAGCAAACAGG
rnacentral:rRNA from 1 species